rnacentral:lncRNA from 1 species
AUGCAUGGAUAAACAGAUACAACAUUUACUGCAAUUGCCAAAGAAGCUGCCCAUCACUGUCACGCCAGCUGCACAGUCUUCACUGAGGGAGCUUCCAAGUGCCAUUUUAUUAAUGUGGAGAGAAGAAUAACAGAUCAUAAAUGUUUGAGGUCUAUCCAGCCGGAGUACAGGGGAUUAUCUAUUAUCCUGUGAGCUCGUGUUUUAUUCAUCUUCGUGUUCCCGUGAAUUAUACAGUGCAAAAACUGCUUAGAAGGCUUCCCCUCCUAGACAGCCCAACAGCACCUCAACCUCAGCCGGAAUGAAACUGAAUGUGUUACUGCGCACCCAAACAGAGCUUCUCUUCCUGCUUUCUCUCUCCUGGCGCAGUGGCUCACACCUGUAAUCCCAGCACUUUGAGAGGCCAAGGCAGGAAGAUCCCCUGAGGUCAGAAGUUCGAGACCAGCCUGGCCAACAUGGCAAAAUCCCAUCUCUACUAAAGGUACAAAAAUUAGCUGGGUGUGGUGGUGGGCACCUGUAAUCCCAGCUACUCAGCAGGGUGAGGCAGGAGAAUCGCUUGAACCCAGAAGGCAGAGGUUGCAGUGAGCCAAGGUCACACCACUGCACUCCAGCCUGGGCAACAAGAGUGAGACUCCAUCUCAAAAAAGAAAAGAAAAGAAAAAGAGUUCUUAUCCCAUUGUAUUAAAGGCAAAUAUUUGUAUACUACUUAAGGGCAGGGCUGUUGCCUAAUUCAAUUCUCUCUUCAGCACCCAAGACUUUAUACAUAAUAGGCACUCUUUAAACAUUUACAUAAAUUAUACAUAUUUUAAACACAAAAUGAUUGAAUUUUAAAAUGUGUUUCCAACUUAAGGGCAGGGAUGUUGCCUAAUUCAAUUCUCUCUUCAGUACCCCAGACUUUAUACAUAAUAGGCACUCUUUAAACAUUUACAUAAGUUAGAGUAUACAUAUUUUAAACACAAAAUGAUUGAAUUUUAAAAUGUGUGUCCAGCCUGGACAACAAAGUGAGACUCCAUCUCUACAAAAACAAAAACAAAAAAAAAAACACUUUUAAUUAGACAGGUGCAGUGGAACGUGUCUGUAGUUCCUACUCGAGAGGCUGAGGCAGGAGGAUCACCUGAGCCCAACCUGGGUGACAGAGUAAGACUCCAUCUUAAAAUACAUAUAUAUAUUUUAAAUGUGUCAAUGCUGGAAGAUUUUUGCUUCUCUAUUCUCAACUGCAUGAGUACAGUAACUCUACUUAUAGAAUCUGACAACUGGCAUUUGAAAGACAUAUAAAUACAUAUAUACCAAUAUAUAGGGGCAUGUGUAUGUGUCCCAGAAACUUACAAUCAAUUUCAUUAUGGCAUGGUUACACUUUACACACAAAAAGUAGGUUGGCACUUGACAGGUGUAUGUGGAUAUACAUGAUGAGAUUUAAAGAGCCCAAGAUGAAGAUAUAAGUCUCAACGUUCCUUUAAAUGAGAUUAAAAUAAUUUUUCCUCACUUUAGUUUUAUUUCUCUUUUGUAUAUCAAAACUUUUGCCUAUAGAAAUUUCUUGAAAUCAGAAGUUUAAAGACUUCUUUGGUCAAUGAUUGGUGAAUGGGUUAAAGUGCUCUACAGCAUUUGGCUUACCAACCUGGAUGCCUAGCUUACCAACAUUGAUUCCAUUUGUUGAAGCUGUUGGACAACUAAUGGCUAUUAAGUCUAUCACGAUGACCUUCAAAGUCUUUUAUUUUUUCCCCUUAAAGCUUCAAACUGGAAAUUUUUGUGAGCUACUUUGAGAUAUU